rnacentral:rRNA from 1 species
AUUCCGGUUGAUCCUGCCGGAGGCCAUUGCUAUCGGAGUUCGAUUUAGCCCUGCUAGUCGCACGGGUUUAGACCCGUGGCGUAUAGGUCAGUAACACGGGGCCAAACUACCCUAUAGACCAUGAAAACCUCGGGAAAAUGAGGCUAAUUGUGGAUAUCGCAUUCACGCUUGAACUGCCGAAAGCGAGAAACGUUCCGGCGCUAUAGGAUGUGGCUGCGGCCGAUUAGGUAGACGGUGGGGUAACGGCCCACCGUGCCAGUAAUCGGUACGGGUGGUGACAGCCAGAACCCGGAGACGGUAUCUGAGACAAGAUACCGGGCCCUACGGGGCGCAGCAGGCGCGAAACCUUUACACUGCACGACAGUGCGAUAGGGGGACUCCGAGUGCGAGGGCAUAUAGCCCUCGCUUUUCUCGACCGUAAGGUGGUCGACGAAUAAGGACUGGGCAAGACCGGUGCCAGCCGCCGCGGUAAUACCGGCAGUCCGAGUGAUGGCCGCUGUUAUUGGGCCUAAAGCGUCCGUAGCUUGCCGUGAAAGUCUAUCGGGAAAUCGACGUGCUCAACGCGUCGGCUUCCGGUGAAAACUACACGGUUUGAGGCCGGAGAACUCAGCGGGUACGUCCGGGGUAGGAGUGAAAUCCUGUAAUCCUGGACGGACCACCAAUGGCGAAAGCACGCUGAGAAGCCGGACCCGACAGUGAGGGACGAAAGCCAGGGUCUCGAACCGGAUUAGAUACCCGGGUAGUCCUGGCCGUAAACGAUGUUCGUUAGGUCUGCCGUGCACUACGAGUGCACGGUGAGCCGAAGUGAAGACGAUAAACGAGCCGCCUGGGAAGUACGUCCGCAAGGAUGAAACUUAAAGGAAUUGGCGGGGGAGCACCACAACCGGAGGAGCCUGCGGUUUAAUUGGACUCAACGCCGGACAUCUCACCAGUCCCGACAGCAAUAACGACGGUCAGCUUGACGAGCUUACCCGAGUUGUUGAGAGGAGGUGCAUGGCCGCCGUCAGCUCGUACCGUGAGGCAUCCUGUUAAGUCAGGUAACGAGCGAGACCCGCCUCCGUAGUUGCCAGCGAUACCUUGAGGUAGUCGGGUACACUACGGAGACCGCCGACGCUAAGUCGGAGGAAGGAACGGGCAACGGUAGGUCAGUAUGCCCCGAAUGGACUGGGCAACACGCGGGCUACAAUGGUCGAGACAAUGGGUUGCGAUACCGAGAGGUAGAGCUAAUCUCCCAAACUCGGUCGUAGUUCGGAUUGUGGGCUGAAACUCGCCCACAUGAAGCUGGAUUCGGUAGUAAUCGCGUGUCAGAAGCGCGCGGUGAAUACGUCCCUGCUCCUUGCCCCCCCCGCCCGUCAAAGCCCCCGAGUGA